rnacentral:rRNA from 1 species
GAUGAACGCUGGCUACAGGCUUAACACAUGCAAGUCGAGGGGAAACGACGGGGAAGCUUGCUUCCCCGGGCGUCGACCGGCGCACGGGUGAGUAACGCGUAUCCAACCUGCCUCUGACUGAGGGAUAACCCGUCGAAAGUCGGCCUAAUACCUCAUGGCAUCGUCUGCGGGCAUCCAACGACGAUUAAAGAUUUCAUCGGUCAGGGAUGGGGAUGCGUCUGAUUAGCUUGUUGGCGGGGUAACGGCCCACCAAGGCUACGAUCAGUAGGGGUUCUGAGAGGAAGGUCCCCCACAUUGUAACUGAGACACGGUCCAAACUCCUACGGGAGGCAGCAGUGAGGAAUAUUGGUCAAUGGGCGGGAGCCUGAACCAGCCAAGUAGCGUGCAGGAUGACGGCCCUAUGGGUUGUAAACUGCUUUUAUGCGGGGAUAAAGUGAGGGACGUGUCCUUCAUUGCAGGUACCGCAUGAAUAAGGACCGGCUAAUUCCGUG